UACGGAGGUCGCUAGCGUUGUUCGGAAUUACUGGGCGUAAAGCGCACGUAGGCGGCUUUGUAAGUUAGAGGUGAAAGCCCGGGGCUCAACUCCGGAACUGCCUUUAAGACUGCAUCGCUUGAAUCCAGGAGAGGUGAGUGGAAUUCCGAGUGUAGAGGUGAAAUUCGUAGAUAUUCGGAAGAACACCAGUGGCGAAGGCGGCUCACUGGACUGGUAUUGACGCUGAGGUGCGAAAGCGUGGGGAGCAAACAGG
rnacentral:rRNA from 1 species